rnacentral:rRNA from 1 species
UACGGGGGGGGCAAGCGUUGUUCGGAAUUACUGGGCGUAAAGGGCUCGUAGGCGGCCAACUAAGUCAGACGUGAAAUCCCCUCGGCUUAACCGGGGAACUGCGUCUGAUACUGGAUGGCUUGAGUUCGGGAGAGGGAUGCGGAAUUCCAGGUGUAGCAGUGAAAUGCGUAGAGAUCGGGAGGAACAUCAGUUGCGAAGGCGGCUCUCUGGACCCAGCACUGACACUGAGGCACGAAAGCGUGGGGGGAGCAAACAGGG